rnacentral:rRNA from 1 species
UCCCGUUGAUCCUGCGGGAGAUUGCUGCUAUCGGGAUUCGACUAAGCCAUGCAAGUCCAGGCCACGCAAGUGACCGGCAGAAUGCUCAGUAACACGUCGAUAACCUGCCCUUAGGUCGUGGAUAACCUUGGGAAACUGAGGAUAACACCUGAUAGAAGUUGGGUACUGGAAUGUCCCUUCUUUGAAAGAUUAACGCCUAAGGAUGGGUCGGCGGUCGAUUAGGCUGUUGGCGGGGUAACGGCCCACCAAACCUGAGAUCGGUACGGGCCAUGAGAGUGGUAGCCCGGAGAAGGACCCUGAGAUACUGGUCCUAGCCCUACGGGGUGCAGCAGGCGCGAAACCUUUACAAUGCACGGAAGUGUGAUAAGGGAAUCCCGAGUGCUCAUGCAAAGCAUGGGCUUUUGCCAAGAGUAAAUAUCUUGGCGAAUAAGUGGUGGGAAAGACUGGUGCCAGCCGCCGCGGUAACACCAGCGCCACAAGUGGGAAUCACAAUUAUUGGGCCUAAAGCGUCCGUAGCCGGCCAUGUAAAUCUCUUGUGAAAUCGUUGGGCUUAACUCAACGGCGUGCAGGAGACACCGCAAGGCUCGGGACCGGGAGGGGUCAGAGGUAUUCCGGGGGGAGCGGUAAAAUGUUAUAAUCCUUGGAAGACCACCGGUGGCGAAGGCGUCUGACCAGAACGGAUCCGACGGUGAGGGACGAAAGCCAGGGGAGCAAUCCGGAUUAGAUACCCGAGUAGUCCUGGCCGUAAACGCUGCGAGCUAGGUGUUGCGCAUUCUACGUGAAUGUGCAGUGUCGAAGCGAAGGUGUUAAGCUCGCCGCCUGGGUAGUACGGUCGCAAGACUGAAACUUAAAGGAAUUGGCGGGGGAGCACCACAAGGGGUGCGGCGUGCGGUUUAAUCUAACUCAACGCAGAGAAUCUCACCAGAUGCGACGGCAGGAUGAAAGACAGUCUAAAGGGCUUUCUUGACGAGCCGAGAGGUAGUGCAUGGCCGUCGUCAGCUCGUGCCGUGAGGUGUCCUCUUAAGUGAGGCAACGAGCGAGACCUGUACCUACAAUUGCCAGCGACAGUUUACUGGAUCGGGCACAUUGUAGGGACUGCCCUGGAAACAGGGAGGAAGGUGCAGGCUACGGUAGGUCUGUAUGCUCCGAAUCUUCUGGGCUACACGCGCGCAACAAUGGUAGGGACAAUGGGAUACAACUCCGAAAGGAGAAGUUAAACCUCAAAACCCUAUCUCAGUUCAGAUCGAGGCUUGUAACUCAGCCUCGUAACGACGGAAUCCCUAGUAAUCAGGCGUUAGCAUCGCCCGGUGAAUAUGUCCCUGCUCCUUGCACGCACCGCCCGUCAAACCAACCGAGCAGGGUUUAGGUGAGUACCAGCUUUUUUUGGCUAGUCCGAACCUAAGCUCAGUGAGGUGGGUUAAGUCGUCACAAGGUA